rnacentral:lncRNA from 1 species
AUAAUGCCAUACCAUGAUUCCCUUCAGAUGUUUUAGGUGAUUCUUGACCAUUAGUAGAAUCUGACAAAAUGGUACAAGAAUCAAAACCAUUAAUCCGAAUAGAUUCAGUUAGCUGCUCUCCUUGAACUGCUAUUCCCAAUUUGCGAACGUUAUCUUCGAUACCUAAUACAGAACAAAGCUGAUAUAGCUAAUAAUACUCCAAUUAUAACUCCAAUUGAAAUCCCAAUUAUCAAUCCUUGUGAUACCCCUUUCAUUUCUUUUCAAUUCUUAUUAUUCCAAGUUACCUACAUCAAUCAAAUAAUCCAUCAGUACUCUCCAUCUCAACUACAUUAACUCAAAUUAAACUCUAUGAAUCAACUUGUUAUAGAUUGAGUUAAAUAGAUAACAUGAUUAAAGCUAGAAAAUGUUUAGAUCAAGUUAGAUUAAACAAAUAGAUAGAUCUAUAGAUAAAUCAAACAUAAUAAAACCCUAAAGAAUGUAGAGAUUAUGAAAACUUACGGAAGAAUUCGUCAAACGAUUGGACUUGAAAUUGAAAUUGAAGAAACUAAAGAAAACAUCGAACAAGAAGAAGAAUCGAAAGUGUAGAGAGAGAAACAAGAGUACAUUUAAUAUGGAACAGAAGUAUGAGUUUGUCAGUGAAACUCAUGGAAGUUGAGAGAGAGAGAGAGAUGAAUAAGAUCUGUU